rnacentral:rRNA from 1 species
AUGGAGGCGCUUUCAGAGAUUCGUGCUGAGGAGACUCGCUUACGUGGUGCUGGUUUGCUGGAGGUUCCCUCUGUGCUCGCUACUCAGGCUUCUUCCACUCCACCUGCUGCACCGACCCCUUCUCGCUCGAGUGCUCCGCCGCUCUUGCCCACUCCUUCUGGGGGCUCAGGUCGCCCCCGUCCACAUUGUGACUACUGCAACAAUGAUGGUCAUAUUGAGUCCCAGUGCUACACAAAGCGGAAACACCUGCGCAAGGCGCGAUCAUCAUCCUCAGGGACUUCGUCAUCUUCCUCGACAGCUUCAGCCAUUGCUUUGACUGAGCAGGAUAUUCUGAGACUUAAGCGUCUGCUCGCGGCUUCAGGUUCUUCCUCGACGGGUACUGCUGGUUCUGUGACUGAUGCUUCCCGCACUGAGCAACCGCCCUCUACACAGUCAGGUACAUCCCCAUGGGUUCUGGACUCUGGAGCUUCUUUUCAUAUGUCUUCUCAUUCUUCCACUUUGUCCUCUCUUCGAUUGCUGGAUUCUCCUGUUCAUGUCUUCACUGCUGAUGGUACUCCACUUUCUGUUGCUAGUAGAGGCAAUCUUUCCACUCCUUCUUAUUCUGUUCCUGAUGUUGCUCAUGUUCCUCGACUUACUAUGAAUCUGUUUUCUGCUGGUCAACUUACUGAUUCUGGUUGUCAUGUCAUCCUUGACGUUGACUCUUGUUCUAUCCAGGACCAUCGCACACACACUCUGGUUGGGGCUGGCCCUCGCCGCCGUGAUUCUCAGGGUCUUUGGGAGUUGGACUGGCUUCAUGUUCCUUCCGCUGCCACCUCCAUCGCCAGUUCCUCCGCUUCUGUCGCCUCUGUUACUGGUUCCUUCAAGCAGUGGCAUCAUCGACUGGGUCAUCUGUGUGGUUCUCGGUUGUCGUCUUUAGUUCGUCGAGGUCUUCUGGGGUCUGUCUCAGGAGAUGUCUCUUUAGAGUGUUAG